GGUUGAGAGGUGGUCCUGCAGACCUGUAGUUCUGAGCACUUUCUGCAGCAGAUCAGACAAACAGAACAACAUGCUGAGAUGUUUUACUGGGGAGCCCUUACAUGUUUUAAUCAGCUAGUAAUUGUGUGAAUCUAGUGCCUUUCCUGCACUGCAGGGCUGAAAUCAGCUGUUUUUCUUAAAAACGUAGUUUCUGUACAUCAGAGUCUCCAGUUUUCUAGAGCUGAAAGAACAAGAGCAGUUAAAUUCUGCAUGUUGCAGUACUUUUGAUUGGCUGUAAUAAAACUUAAAUCUCAAUCUUUAAACCUACUGUUUGCUUUCUCACAGAGAAGUAACGAGUAGGAAAAUUUAAGGGAACCCAGGCUGUUAAUACUUGCAACAGUGUACAUAUCCAAUACUAUUAAAAUACUAUUAUGCAUAUUACAGUGCUAUUAAAUUAUUAUAUAUAAACAAGAAAGAAAUGUUUAUUAUAAAAGAAUAUGGCAAAUAGGCAAAGUUCCUGUAUGACUAGGCCCUCAUUGUCACACUGUGAUGUCAUGUGGUUGCAUUGAGAUCAGUCCUGUGGUAAAUAAGACAAUCAACAAGUUUGUCUCCUGAGUAAUAUCACGUUCUAGCUAAAGUGGGAAAGAUAUGAUAUAUUGGAGGUAAAUGAGAAUAUUAGCUUCCUGUUCCUCGCUUAGUGGACGAGAGAGAGCAUCCAUUUGAUGUGGAAAACAAUAAUGGCACACAGUUUCCAAGAGUAACACCAAAGAGAGUCAGCCACCAUCCCCGUUAGAACCUGUUCUAUCUACUUGUUCCUCAGCAAGUGAUCAGGUGACUUUUGGUCAUUGACAGGUGUUCCUUAGAUAUGAAAACAGCCAACUUUGAUACGUGUAGCUUUACGAUAUAUAGAAUUAGAAAAUGAAAGGGCAAAAGUAUAUCGUGAGCAAGUUUGGAAGUUCCAGAACGUCAUAUUUUGUCAGUUAUGUUUAAUGUAUGUGAUGACUUCACGGAGUCCCCACAAUGCAGGCUUUGGUUAAAUAUGUGUAAAUGAGAGAGAUGUUGGGAAAAUACUGUUAGCUAGCCUAGUGUCCCCACAAGUCACAUGGUCACAAAAUGUGUUAAGCGUCCUCACAAAGAAUGUUUAGGCCUUAAUGUGUGUAAGCAGUGAGGAAACACUACAUUUGCAUAUCUCAGUGCAUGUUUGAGUUUUGCAAAGUUGUAACAUGUCUUCUGCUUUAUGUUUGGUCCAAUGUAAUAGAAGUGUUAUGUGUAUAUGAAGUCUGUCUUUGAAUUUCUUGGUUAAUUUCUCAAUGUACCAUAUUUGAACAAAUCAGGGAGGACACAGUUUCCAAGAGUAACAUCAAAGAGAGUCAGCCACCAUCCCCGUCAGAACCUGUUCUAUCUACUUGUUCCUCAGCAAGUGAUCAGGUCAGGGAGGACACAGUUUCCAAGAGUAACAUCAAAGAGAGUCAGCCACCAUCCCCGUCAGAACCUGUUCUAUCUACUUGUUCCUCAGCAAGUGAUCAGGGAGGACACAGUUUCCAAGAGUAACAUCAAAGAGAAUCAGCCACCAUCCCCGUCAGAACCUGUUCUAUCUACUUGUUCCUCAGCAAGUGAUCAGAGGACUGGAAAGAACACAAUAUCAGAAAACAGUGCUCAAGAGAACUAUCAGCUGUUGCAAUCAGGACCUGUUCUGUUUGCUUGUUCCUUAGCAAGUGAUCAAGUAAGUCUCUUGUGGUCAUUCCCAAGUGUUUCUUAGAUCUGAAAAUUGCCAACAAGGUUGAAAUUGAAUUUAGCAUCUUUACAGUAUAUGUAGAAUUAGAAAAUCAAAGGGGAAAAGUAUAUC